GCCUAACUUUAACCCUCUCAAAACAUUCAAAAAAUAAAAAAUAAAAAGAAAAUCACAGAGGCACAGCAGCUAGAAAAAGCCAGAAGGAUAAAACUCACUGAAAUACAAAACCCUAGCGUCCUCUCUCGUCUCUACCUUUACCAUCUCUCUCCUUCAUCUAAUCUUCCCCACUUCUCCAAAUCUUUAACAAUGGCAGCCAUGCUGCAACCCCAGAUCAUACUCUUGAAGGAAGGGACGGACACGUCGCAAGGGAAGGCGCAGCUUGUUAGCAACAUCAACGCUUGCACUGCGGUGGCUGAUGUAGUCAGGACGACGCUGGGACCCAGGGGGAUGGACAAGCUUAUUCAUGACGAUAAGGGCAGUGUCACCAUUUCUAACGAUGGAGCUACCAUCAUGAAGUUGCUCGAUAUUGUCCAUCCCGCUGCCAAGAUACUUGUCGACAUCGCUAAGUCUCAGGACUCUGAGGUUGGUGAUGGAACCACAACAGUGGUAUUGCUUGCAGCAGAGUUUUUGAAGGAGGCCAAACCUUUUGUGGAGGAUGGAGUCCACCCACAAAAUUUAAUACGGAGUUAUAGGACUGCAUGCUAUUUGGCAAUUGAGAAGAUCAAAGAACUAGCUGUAAGCAUAGAAGGGAAAAGUAUGGAAGAAAAGAAAAGCUUACUUGCUAAAUGUGCUGCCACAACUCUCUCUUCAAAACUUAUCGGUGGGGAGAAAGAGUUCUUUGCACAGAUGGUUGUGGAUGCUGUUAUUGCAAUUGGGAAUGAUGAUAGACUAAAUAUGAUUGGAAUAAAGAAGGUGCCUGGUGGCAACAUGCGAGAUUCAUUUCUAGUGAAUGGUGUUGCCUUUAAAAAGACAUUUUCAUAUGCAGGGUUUGAACAACAACCAAAGAAGUUUUUAAAUCCAAAGAUACUUCUACUCAACAUUGAAUUGGAAUUGAAAUCUGAGAAAGAAAAUGCAGAGAUAAGGCUGUCAGACCCUUCACAGUAUCAGUCAAUUGUUGAUGCAGAAUGGAAUAUCAUUUAUGAAAAGUUGGAUAAAUGUGUACAGAGUGGGGCCAAAGUGGUUCUUUCACGUCUGGCGAUUGGAGAUUUGGCAACACAGUAUUUUGCAGAUCGGGAUAUUUUCUGUGCUGGUCGUGUAGCCGAAGAAGAUUUGCAAAGGGUUGCAGCCGCAACUGGUGGAACUGUGCAAACAACUGUCAACAACAUAAUUGAUGAGGUUCUUGGAACUUGUGAGAUUUUUGAGGAAAAGCAAGUUGGAAAUGAGAGGUUUAACAUAUUCAGCGGAUGCCCUUCUGGAAGACCUGCCACUAUCGUUCUUCGUGGCGGAGCAGAUCAGUUCAUUGAGGAAGCUGAGCGGAGUUUACAUGAUGCAAUCAUGAUUGUUAGAAGAGCUUUGAAAAACUCAACUGUUGUUGCUGGUGGUGGCGCAAUCGAUAUGGAAAUAAGCCGAUAUUUGAGGCAGCAUGCUCGCACAAUAGCUGGGAAGUCUCAGCUAUUUAUUAACUCUUAUGCAAAAGCCCUUGA
rnacentral:misc_RNA from 1 species